ensembl:lncRNA
CUUUACCUGGGCUUCACCUUCAGGGCACGAGGGCCACUCGUGGACACAAUCAGGGGAUUUGGACCGCUGUACGGUCAGAGGAGACUAGUGUGUACUCUAAAGAGAGGACAAAGGUUGGAGAGCUGCCAUUUUGUGCAUUUGGGAAGUUGUAGGACCAGAUGGAGUUGCUAACUGAUUUAUUUCGUACAGCGUAAUGGUCACAUUCUGUUUUUGUGUCGGUCUUGCUCAGAAACUAUUGAAUGUUGACAGCGUGAGUACUUACCUGAGGAAGAGGAAUGGAAACACUAUUCCCUGUGUGCAUUACAACCUGUAUUCUGAUCAGGUUGAUUAAAUUACAGGGGUGUUACUACCCUCAUCGAAUCACAAUCGUGCAAAUGUGCGCAAAGCUGCUUGGAUGUAGGAGGAUGGGCCUGCCAGCGGAAAGCCCAGAAAGAGACCCUGAGGAGGAAUCUUUUCAGUGUGGACCUGAGCAGGGAGAGGAUGGUGAGGGUUGGGGGAGCGAUAGGACACCUGAGGCCUGCACCCCUACUCUCCCAUCCACUGGCAAGAGGAAGAAGAAAAGGAAAAAGAGGUACUUCAAGUUAGAAGCUGUAUGGCACCGUCGUCUUUUGGGUGUUUCUCUAACCUCUGAGCGAGGCAGAGUAUUAUUUAAACUGCCACUUCGCUGUCAGGCCCACCCAAUCAGUUUGGGUACUUUUGUUAUUUUGGGAAGCAAGCAGUGGGCUUUAGGUUCAUGCUGAGGCAUCAGAGCUGGUGUCCGGCCUGUUUGAUACUGCAGCAGUUUCUGAAGCCAGUGUGGCACACUCAUGUUGAACUAUGUCCAUGCCCCAAUAUGCAUUGGCUUCAUAUGCAUUGGCUUCAUAUGCAUUGGCUUCAUAUGCAUUGGCUUCAUAUGCAUUGGCUUCAGAAAGCAUUUAGGCCCCUUCACUUUCUCCUAGUUUGUAUCAUAGACUGGAUUUCUAAUGAUUACAUAUAUUUUUCUGACAAUAAAUCAACAUAGAUUACCCCAUCACGGAAAAGCAAAAACACUUUUUCAGUAAUGUGUGCCAAUUUAUAGAAUAUACGAAUG